AUGUCAUUGAGUGGAAUAUCUGUAGAUGUCAAAAUAACUUUUUUUUCGGUGAUGGUUUUACAUGAUACAAAUCAAAUAAAUAAAAGUAAUCAUUCGUGCUACAUGCAGCAUUGAUGUGAUAAAAAAUGUCAAAAAUUAGCACAGAAGAGAAGUCACCGCUGUUGUAUGUCUUAGAAGAAAGAGAUGACAAUUCGAAAAG